rnacentral:lncRNA from 1 species
CAAAUUUGACACUAUGCAAAAAGAAGAUUCCCCGUCACAUCAAACUUGCGGUACAUGCAUGGAGUACUAAAUGUAGACGAAAUCAAAAACUAAUUGCACAGUUUUGUUGUACUUUGCGAGACGAAUCUUUUGAGCCUAAUUAGUCAAUAUUUGGAUAAUAAUUCACAAAUACAAACGAAACGCUACAGUAUGCUACAAUGCUACAACAGUAAUUUUGGACAUCCAAAUUCAGGGCAACUAAACAAGGUCCAGUAUAAUUGUAGGGCCCCAGUAUAAUUGUAGGGCAAGUACGGUCGGUUUUUUGUAGGCGCCAAAACCUGAGAUCGUAGAUAAACUGGGCCAAGUUGAAGCUGCAUGUCGCACGAUCAAGGACACAAAACCAAAAAUUUCAACUGAUACAUCAUUCCUCUCGAACCGGCAUUCCUCCUGAGUCCUGACAGACAAAACAGGGUUCAGAAAAAAGGGCCAUCAAAUGAUCAAAGCCCAAAGCAGCUACACUAUACAUUCUCUGCACACCCUUGUGCCUGUGGCCGGUGCCACUAGCCCGAAGAGCUCCUUCGUUCCGUCGAGGCAAGCAAGAUCGCAGCAGGGAGGAAGGGCAGGACCUAGCAUCAUCAUCCGUGGACGGGCCCAGCAAAGCUGCAUCCUCUGCCGUAGGCUGUAGCCUUUAUCUGCGAGAAUCAUACACCGAUACACACAUGCGUACGCGCGCGCCACACCGCCCACACGUUAUCCUGGCCGGGGAACGCCCGCGUCUACUCUACACGCCGCCAUGCCGGGGAGCGGUCACGGCAUGUUGCUGGAAUGAUUGGUCGCCCUGGGGCCUGGAAAGAAGCGUCCAUCGCGCCUGCCUCGUGUACGCCGCGGGCACAAGCGCCAUCAUUCUGCUCCUGAAAGCGUUUCGAUCAUGGAGCAUGCGGCAUGCCUGCGGAAACCAAGCACGGAGUAGCAGUCCGUGCAGGUACCAUACCGUACCGGGAGAGAAGCACACAGGCUCGACUCGACAGCGAAUGACAAGUGCAUUCCCAUUGCUAAAGAAAGCCUAGGCGCGAUGCAGAAACCGGAGCAAGCUCUAGCUCGCUCUAGAGGCGGCGUGCACCGACGUGAUCCGAUGAGUGCGUGCAAGCUGCUGCGUGCGGCGGCUGCCGGCCGACCGGGCGCCCGGGCGGGCUGAUCCGGCAUGGCAGCGGCGUCAGCCUGACGGAUGUCCAUGUCGCGGAAGCAGAGGUGCUUGAGUUUCUGCAGCUGGGAUGGAUCGGGAGCAGAGCUGCUUACCUUUUAUGCAUCUUGUGCAGGUGAAUGCAGUAGCUUUUGGGCGUAGCGUUCUGUGCAAAUUUGACGGCCGGGGGCGUAGCGUUGCUGUGCGUUCAAUCGCGGGCGUUCGUUUCAUGUGGGGAUCCGUGUGAUUCUGUGGAUGUAUUUGUAGGGUAUAUGAAAUUUUUUUGGCAUCCUGUCCGACCAGGCAAGCACUAAAAAAAAUAUCGACCCUAUUCAAAUCUUGCAUGCAUAUAAUAUAGUAUUAUUUUUAUUUGGUGUUUUCAUGCUAAUGAUACGUACCAUUUAGGACCACUCAUGUAUACCGUUCAAAAUGUACCAGUACACUAAAUUGUAUAUUCAAAUUUUGCAUGAAUAUAAUGUAUUAUUAUUAACUAAGAGCGAGCUCCGGUGACCGGUCGCCCGCGAGAGCGCCAGCAAUAUAUAUUAUAUUUUAUUUGAUGUUUUCUUGCUAAUGAUAUGUACCAUCCACGUACCACUCAUGUAUAUCCCCAGCCAAAAACACGUGUGUCAGUAUAUAAAUUGUUUAUUUCUUGCUGAAUGGUACCACCAUGUAUACCGCCCAAAAAAACACGCUAUCUAAAUUGUUUGUUUUUUUUACUUCAUUGAAAAUAGUUUUGAUAACAUUUAUAAUAUUUAUUAGACAUUAUAUGUACCAUCCAUGUAUGCAUAUUUUACCACGUAAUACAAACUGUGUGAAUACACUGUAAAGUAAUAUUUUGCACAGUUUAUAAAAAUAAUUUUGAAAUUAUUACUGAAACUUAUCCGCAUACCACUGUACAUAGAUGCACAAGAACACAUUUUUUUGAGAAGAAUCUAACAUGCUAGUUAAUUGUGUUUUUUUAAGGGUCAACAAAUAUAAAUUUCUUAGCACAAUACUUUUGGUCUCAUCCAUGUCUGUAAAUUUCCAACUCUUGAUCAGCAUGAGCUCCUUAUCGUGAACAGGUCUUUACUUGAACAAUUAAAAGUGAAAUUCCAAAACAUAUUCGAACGCAAAGGCUACAAUACACAAUUUUCCAAAUUCGUCUGAUGCAUACAUCAUAAUUGAGAACCUAGGCAAAGAAUUGUUUCCAGGUCAUGGGAUCUGACUGAAAAAGAUCAUGAUAUGCGGAAUCUCAAUAGUUGUGCAGAAUCAAUCCUAGUACCAGAUCAAUUAAGCAUGCAUCGAAACCAUGUGGCAAUGUUCUUAAAUUCCUAAAAAAAAGAGACCAGACUGCUCAAUUCGAUUUUGCAUGCAACCAACUGAAUAAAGAUACACAACAAAUGGCUCACUUUUGGAGAUAGGAGAGCCAAUCUACAUUCAGAGCUAGCAAAAAUAACUGCCUCUUCGCACUACAAAUCAGUUUAUAAACGAGCAGAAAUUCAAAGUGUAUCUGGCGGCCACUCUUACAACAAAAUCCAAGACUCUUACUCCAACCACUCCACCACCCAAAGAAGAAAGGAAACAAAAACCUUUCCCCAACCAAUUCGUCGCCAUUUCCUCCACCAGCAGGAACUAAGGGCAUGUUUGGAUCCAUGGACUAAAUUUUAGUCUUGCACUUUUAGUUUAAAAUUUAGCUCUUGGGAUCCAAACAGGAGGGCUAAAAGUGACAAAUAGCUAAACUUUGGGAGCUAAAUUUUAGCCCCCAAAGAGGUCCUAAAAGGGGCUAAAAGUGCUCCCCAAGACCCCCUUUCCACCCCUGCCCCCUUUCCUCUCUCCUCUGCGUGGUCCUCUGCUCCUCCCGCACUCCCUCUCUCCUCCAACGCCCGCCGCCUCCGCCCGACCCCCGCCGCCUCCGCCCGGCCCCCCGCCUCCAGCCAGCCCCGCUGCCUCCGCCCGGGCCGCCGCCUCCGCUCGGCCCCCCGCCUACAGCCAGCCCCACCGCCUCCGCCUCCUUCGCCCGCCGCCGCCGCCUCGCCGGCCCCGCCACCUCCGCCUCACCUCGCCGCCUCGCCACGCCGAGGAGGUGCGAAGGGAAGAGGAGAGAGAGAGAGGGAAAGGAGGGGGAGGGAGAGAGGGAAAGAGAGGGCAAAUCAGUCAUUGUUUGAUGAGGGACUAAAAUUUAGCCCAUGGAUCCAAACACCCCAGCAGAACUAAAUUUUAGGAGCUAAAGUUUACCUCAUGAACUAGUGAUCCAAACACCACCUAAGUCAUUAGCAAAAGCAAAGUUUCCUUUCCAUUUUUGGAUUACAGUUUGCACACACUCUGAAAUGGAUAUGAGCAAGGGAAGAAAAAUGAUAGAACAAGAGCUUCCCGCUUUGCAAUGGAAACACAAGAGAUGAACAUCGGAGAAUUGAAUCAGCCCCUACUUACCAAGAAUUGGUACCAUUUGCCCAAAAUCCAGCGCCUAGCCCACAAGAUUGGCGUCCUCCUGGCCAAGAGCAGGCUUUGCUCCGUGAGCUCCUCCAAGGAGACCACCAGCUUCGGUGCUCGGCCGACCUCCUCGACCUCGGCCGCUAGCCCGACGCAGGCGACGGCAGCGAGGGCCGCGCCUGCCGUUAUCUCCCGAGACCCGAGCAGGCUGAUCGUAAUCGAGCGAGCCUGCCAGAGCGCUAGGUUUCCGCUCCUGAUC